AGCUGCCUCUGUGAUCUCACCACAAGGGGGAGAGAGAAGGACUGCUCGUAGCAAAGAAGCGGCCUGGCCUCUGAAGAGAAGGGGACACAGCAAAGAUGUCUGAAAAACACAAGUGGUGGCAGCAGGUGGAGAACAUCGACAUCACACACCUGGGCCCUAAGAGAAAAGCCUAUGAACUCCUGGGUCGGCAUGAGGAGCAAGUGCUCAUCAACCGCAGAGAUGUCAUGGAGAAGAAGGAUGCCUGGGAUGUACAGGAAUUCAUCACUCAAAUGUAUAUCAAGCAGUUGCUCCGCCAUCCGGCCUUCCAGCUGCUGCUGGCCUUUCUGCUGCUGUCCAACGCUAUCACCAUUGCCCUUCGCACCAACUCUUAUCUCGGUCAGAAACAUUACGAGCUAUUCUCGACCAUAGAUGACAUUGUGUUGACGAUCCUUAUCUGCGAGGUUCUGCUUGGUUGGCUUAACGGCUUCUGGAUUUUCUGGAAGGAUGGCUGGAAUAUCCUCAACUUCGCAAUUGUCUUUAUCUUGUUUAUGGGGUUCUUCAUAAAACAACUUGACAUGGUUGCCAUCACCUACCCUCUCAGGGUGCUCCGGCUGGUGCAUGUGUGUAUGGCGGUGGAACCCCUGGCCAGAAUCAUCAAGGUUAUCCUGCAGUCGAUGCCAGACUUGGCUAAUGUCAUGGCUCUCAUCCUCUUCUUCAUGCUGGUAUUCUCUGUGUUUGGGGUCACGCUCUUCGGUGCAUUUGUGCCCAAGCAUUUCCAGAACAUGGGGGUUGCCCUGUACACGCUCUUCAUCUGCAUCACUCAGGAUGGAUGGCUGGACAUCUACACUGACUUCCACUUGUCCCUGAGGUACAAAAGAGUGCUGACGUCUGGCUUGAGAGCUGGCCCUAACUCUCUGAGGCACAAAGGGCCAGGAAAAUGAUGGAGCCCCUGACCACCAUUCCCAGGAUGGAUGAAAGAGAGUACGCGAUGGAGGUCGGGGGCGCCAUCUACUUUGCCGUCUUUAUCACCCUCGGUGCCUUCAUUGGUCUCAACUUGUUCGUCGUCGUGGUGACCACAAACCUGGAACAAAUGAUGAAGACCGGCGAGGAAGAGGGACACCUGAACAUAAAGUUUACUGAGACAGAAGAGGAUGAGGACUGGACCGACGAGCUGCCACUGGUGCAUUGUACAGAGGCCCGCAAGGAUACUUCCACUGUCCCCAAGGAACCACUGGUUGGGGGCCCCCUGAGUAACCUCACAGAAAAGACCUGCGAUAACUUCUGCUUGGUGCUUGAAGCAAUACAGGAGAACUUGAUGGAGUACAAAGAGAUCCGAGAGGAACUCAACAUGAUCGUGGAGGAAGUGUCCUCCAUCCGGUUCAACCAGGAGCAGCAAAAUGUGAUCCUACACAAGUAUACCUCCAAAAGCGCCACCUUCCUAAGCGAGCCCCCAGAAGGGGCUAACAAGCAAGACUUGAUCACUGCGCUGGUCAGCAGGGAAAAGGUGUCUGAUUCUAACAUAAACAUGGUUAACAAACACAAGUUCAGCCACUGAGAAGGCAGUAUGGGAACUGGAGGGCCUGCACACACUGGGCCAGCUGCUGCAUCCCAGACUGGAGCCCAUCCCUCUCCCUUACACCCGGGCGGCAGAGGCCAUGGGGCUGGAAAGGUGGCAGCAUCUGCAGGGCUUAUGCCCAGGAGCCUCAAGUCCGGAGGAGUCGGGAUUCUGGCUGUGAGUGGGCGUACAGAAAGUUGUAGCCAGGCUUUGGCCUAAAGAUGAACAUCCCUGACCUCUGUCUGCAUCAGCCAGAGCUGGAUGAGGCCUGCCUGGGCCCAAGCACCAGAAAGAGAAGAGCCAGGCCAGUGAGACCGUGUGCACCAAAAAUAAACUUUUGUGUUAUAACCAAUGA